CAGCAGCCACGGUAAUACGUAGGGUGCGAGCGUUAAUCGGAAUUACUGGGCGUAAAGCGUGCGCAGGCGGUUUUGUAAGACAGAGGUGAAAUCCCCGGGCUCAACCUGGGAACUGCCUUUGUGACUGCAAGGCUAGAGUACGGCAGAGGGGGAUGGAAUUCCGCGUGUAGCAGUGAAAUGCGUAGAUAUGCGGAGGAACACCGAUGGCGAAGGCAAUCCCCUGGGCCUGUACUGACGCUCAUGCACGAAAGCGUGGGGAGCAAACAGGAUUAGAUACCCCGGUAGUCCCUGUCUCUUAUAC
rnacentral:rRNA from 1 species